GCUCCAAUAGCGUAUAUUAAAGUUGUUGCAGUUAAAAAGCUCGUAGUUGGAUUUCUGGUAGGACGUUGAUGCCGGCUAGACGCUGCGCAGAGAUAUCUUACCAUCUUCUGUUAACUCGGUUUGGUCUUCUGUGACCGGCCGGGGGCUCAGAUAUUUUACCUUGAGAAAAUUAGAGUGUUUCAGGCAGGCUAGCGUCGGAA
rnacentral:rRNA from 1 species